GAAUUCGCCCUUAGAGUUUGAUCCUGGCUCAGAACGAACGUUGGCGGCGUGGAUUAGGCAUGCAAGUCGAACGAAUCCCGCCCCUCACCCCGCCCUCUCCCCCCGGGGAGAGGGUGAGGUGAGGGGCGGGGGAAGUGGCGAAAGGGGCAGUAAGGCGUGGGUAACCUACCCCGGGGACGGGGACAGCCGCCCUAACGGGCGGGUAAUACCCGGCGAUGCCGGCGGCGCAGAAGCGCCGGCGGUGAAAGGAAGUUCGCCUCGGGCGGGGCCCACGUGGUAUUAGCUGGUUGGCGGGGUAACGGCCCACCAAGGCCCAGAUGCCUAGCGGGUGUGCGAGCACGACCCGCGCCACUGGCACUGCGACACUGGCCAGACUCCUACGGGAGGCUGCAGUCGAGAAUCUUCGGCAAUGGGCGCAAGCCUGACCGAGCGACGCCGCGUGCGCGAUGAAGGCCUUCGGGUUGUAAAGCGCUGUCGCGGGGGAGGAAAGCCCGCAAGGGCCUGACCUAUCCCGGGAGGAAGCACGGGCUAAGUUCGUGCCAGCAGCCGCGGUAAGACGAACCGUGCGAACGUUGUUCGGAAUCACUGGGCGUAAAGGGCGCGUAGGCGGGCCCGCUUGUCGGGGGUGAAAGGGUUCGGCUCAACCGGACCACGGCCCCCGAGACGGCGGGCCUGGAGGGGGGUAGGGGCCCGCGGAACUUCCGGUGGAGCGGUGAAAUGCGUUGAGAUCGGAAGGAACGCCGGCGGCGAAAGCGGCGGGCUGGACCCCAACUGACGCUGAGGCGCGAAAGCCAGGGGAGCAAACGGGAUUAGAUACCCCGGUAGUCCUGGCCCUAAACGAUGGGGACUAGGUUGGGGACUGGACAUGGGUUCCCAGCCGAAGCCAACGUGCUAAGUCCCCCGCCUGGGGAGUAUGGUCGCAAGGCUGAAACUCAAAGGAAUUGACGGAAGGGCGAAUUC
rnacentral:rRNA from 1 species